CGGCUCAGUAACACGUGGAUAACCUACCCUCAGAUCUGGGAUAACUCCGGGAAACUGGAGAUAAUACCGGAUAAUCCGUGAACGCUGGAAUGCCUUACGGUUGUAAGCUUUAGCGUCUGAGGAUGGGUCUGCGGCCGAUUAGGUAGUUGCUGGGGUAACGUCCCAACAAGCCGAUAAUCGGUACGGGUUGUGAGAGCAAGAGCCCGGAGAUGGAUUCUGAGACACGAAUCCAGGUCCUACGGGGCGCAGCAGGCGCGAAAACUUUACACUGCGCGAAAGCGCGAUAAGGGGACCUCGAGUGCGUGCGCAAAGCGUACGCUUUUCAGAUGCCUAAAAAGCAUCUGGAAUAAGGGCCGGGCAAGACCGGUGCCAGCCGCCGCGGUAACACCGGCGGCUCAAGUGGUGGCCGCUAUUAUUGGGCUUAAAGGGUCCGUAGCCGGACCAGUUAGUCCCUUGGGAAAUCUUACGGCUUAACCGUAAGGCUGCCAAUGGAUACUGCUGGUCUUGGGACCGGGAGAGGCAAGAGGUACCUCAGGGGUAGGAGUGAAAUCCUGUAAUCCUUGAGGGACCGCCAGUGGCGAAGGCGUCUUGCUAGAACGGGUCCGACGGUGAGGGACGAAAGCUAGGGGCACGAACCGGAUUAGAUACCCGGGUAGUCCUAGCCGUAAACGAUGCGAGC
rnacentral:rRNA from 1 species